rnacentral:tRNA from 1 species
CCUGACAGCUCGUUGGUAAAGAAUCUGCCUGCAAUGCAGGAGGCCCUGGUUCGAUUCCUGGGUCAGGA